AGCUCCACGGGGUCGACGGAUCGGGUCACCACCAGGUAGUCGCGCAGCGCGAUGCCGUGCCGGUUCUC
rfam:Mycobacterium kansasii strain 1010001458 NODE_19_length_89412_cov_37.8423_ID_9419, whole genome shotgun sequence.